rfam:Chitinophaga sancti strain DSM 784 genome assembly, contig: LX65DRAFT_scaffold00004.4
UCGUGGGUGACCACGAAUCUGAAGGAAGCCGGCGGCAAACAUUCGAGCCCACGAACAGAAAUGGUAUACAAGGCAAGGCAUGGUGGGCGAUGUCGCAUCACAGACAAAAGCCCUAUACUGCACGGAACCAUGUUGUGUAAAUACCGGGGCUACAUGAAUGGAAAGCGUAUAAC